rnacentral:lncRNA from 1 species
UACGCGUAUCAAUCCAUCAUGAAAGGAAAAUUCAAAUUCCACUCAUAAACAACAUUGAAUCACAUUAGUUGUAGAUGAGAACAAAUCAAACCAAAAAGGAAAAUUUUCAUUCCUUCAUGAAUCACAUUCAAGUCACAAUUUCAUUCCAUAAUUAAAAACAAUCAGAUUUCUAAACUCAAUCCUGAUGCUAUAUAAAUGGGGGAGUUUCACGUAAAAAAAAACAACAACACAGUGUUGUUCACUUUCAUAUCACCAUCACAAAACCACCACCGUAGCCAAUACUGUUAUCACAAAGUCAAUAAUAACAACAACAUCAUAACAUCACAAUAGCAUCAUCACCAUCAUCACCAUAAGCCUCACAACAACACAUUAAUCUCAAUCACUGUGACAUAAACCUUCCAACCACCAUAACAAAUCAGAAGCAAGAAGAAACAAGAAUGGAUUGAAAAGGGAGAAAAAACAGAACCACUCUCUACCGCCGCCGAAGCCGCAAACAUCACCAACACCGCGAGUCCCGAACAACCAACCGCACACCACCGUGAACAGUAGCGCCGCUGCAAAAAAAAACAUCGCCGGAACAAUCNNNNNNNNNNNNNNNNNNNNNNNNNNNNNNNNNNNNNNNNNNNNNNNGCCGCCGCCGGUAACCAUUGGCUGUUCUUUUUUUCAUUAUAUUUUCCUUCCAUGCUUUUUUUGUUGAUUUAAAAAUAGAGAAUUUGUUGUUAAUCUAAUUGAGAAAAAAAUUGAUUUGGGAAUUUGAAAGAAUAAGAGUGAGAAAGAACCGAGAAAGAGAGAAGAAGAGGUGCAGAGAGAAGAGAGAAAAAAUUGUUAAGUGUUAUGAAUAAUAUGUAAUGAAUGUCCAUUAUUGUGUAGGUUUUCUUGUCUCCUAAUUGUGUCCUAUAAAUAGACCCCUUUGUUACAAUGUAAUACAUACCUUGAAUAGAAC